GCCGAUAUUUGAAGUUGUCAGCUGUGCUAUUGUGGGUUAACUGUUCAGAAAGCCUACUUUUUUUUUUUUUUUUUCCUAAGCAGUAAAGCUGUUUCUGUAGUCUUAUUUUAUUUGGUAACUAUGCUGUGUUUAAAUAUAGUUUGUGGGUGAAAUUCUUAUAAGUUAGCAUUUGUACUUUAUAUGGUUUUGUGCUAGGAAACCUCGGUUGAAGAAAAGCACUCACAGGGAACUCUAGCAAAUGUCCUUCCCUCAGGGUGUAUACUGUAGGCACUCCCGCUGUUAUUUUCUGACACCAGAAAGAAGCAAUGCAAACAGGGAAGAACACAGAACUCAAAACACCGUGGGAACUGAUUGGCUCCAUGUCUUUGAUAAAAGGAAUGAACUCAGAAGAAUGAGGAAUAUGACAAGACCUAACGAUGGACGUGAGUCUGAGUGAACUCCGGGAGUUGGUGAUGGACAGGGAGGCCUGG
rnacentral:lncRNA from 1 species